UACGUAGGGUGCAAGCGUUAAUCGGAAUUACUGGGCGUAAAGCGCACGUAGGCGGAUGUGUCAGUCAGGGGUGAAAUCCCGGGGCUCAACCUCGGAACUGCCUUUGAUACAGCACGUCUCGAGUCCGGAAGAGGUGGGUGGAAUUCCUAGUGUAGAGGUGAAAUUCGUAGAUAUUAGGAAGAACACCGGUGGCGAAGGCGGCCCACUGGUCCGGUACUGACGCUGAGGUGCGAAAGCGUGGGGAGCAAACAGG
rnacentral:rRNA from 1 species